GUAGGGGGCGAGCGUUGUCCGGAUUUAUUGGGCGUAAAAGGCUUGUAGGUGGCCACGCCAAGUCGGAUGUGAAAUCUCCCGGCUCAACUGGGAGGGGUCAUUCGAUACUGGCGGGCUCGAGGCCGGUAGGGGGAAGUGGAAUUCCCGGUGUAGUGGUGGAAUGCGUAGAUAUCGGGAGGAACACCAGUGGCGAAGGCGGCUUCCUGGACCGGUUCUGACACUGAGGAGCGAAAGCGUGGGGAGCGAUCCGGAUUAGAUACCCGGGUAGUCCACGCCGUAAACGUUGGGCACUAGGUGUCGGGGGUAUCGACCCCUCCGGUGCCGCAGCUAACGCAUUAAGUGCCCUGCCUGGGGAGUACGGCCGCAAGGCUAAA
rnacentral:rRNA from 1 species